AUACGUUUUACGCCCAAUCAUUUCUUUUUCAGAAUCAGGAUCGGCUGAUUGUCGCUUCAAUUCACAAAUUCGCUUCAAUUAUGAAAAGAUGGGUACCAUGGACAGUCCAGUAGCUCCAGACACCACCUCGCCAGUCGCUGUGCUAAGUACUAUCUUGUCACGGGCCACUGCAGGAGUCCUGCAUCAACAGAUGGGUGAGCCGAUUGCAUCACUGGACUACUCAUCACUAGACAGAUUAACUGUCAUAUCAGUCAGAGAAGUAUUGACAGUGUGUGUUUGAGAAGCGCAACUCCGAGAGAACACAGAGAGAACACAUUACAAUUGGAGAUCAGCGCAAUGAGGUAUCAUAGAUAAAAUAAAAUGGAACAAGAGCACACUGAAAUUCCAUUGCCAGUGAUGAUGUGACAGUGCAGCGUGUCAACGUUUAAACGACUACAGCAGUGGCAUCGACGACACUGUGUGUGUGUGUGUGUGUGUGUGUGUGUGUGUGUGUGUGUGUGUGUGUGUGUGUGCGUGCGCGAGGGGGAGCGGACAAAGUACGACAUUCGUUUUACGCCGUUCCAACGAUUUCGAAAUAAAAAAUCUUGCAUUUUGAUGUAUGGAACAAUAGCAUGGAAAAUACUGAUCGCCAUGUAUUAUUUGUAUUCACAGAAAGUAUAUGUGACACGUGGAAUUAAUGCCAUGUGGGUUCGCAAAAACUCAGAAGUGUUGCCUGACUUUUUAUAAUCUCAGAAAAGAAAGACAGUUCUGUCAAAACAUUUGAUUUUUCAACUUUGUACACCGUUAUCCAGCAUGACAAACUUCAUUCCUUGAUCCAUGGGGCUUUUGUUACAAAACGUGGUGAACAUAGAUACAGUUACAAAUCUAUCUUCAGAGGUUCAGGCCAGUUUUUCAAAAAAUAUUCAUUAGGAUUCUGAGUGACAAAACACUCUCCACAAAACUGUAUGUCAAGAGGCAUGAUUUCAACUUUCCAGUAGUCAAUUUUCCCUGUAUGUGGAGCAUAUGUCUGAAACUCCAACCUUUGGUGUGUACAUUCCAAAACUUUUGAGGUACAAUCCAGCAUGCUAUUUCUACCAAGGAUUCUAAAAGCGUCAUACGACUCUUGCUCGGAAGUUGUUUGAUCAAGGUUGCAAACACUCAAGGUUUCUGUAAAGUUUUCAAAAAGUGUUAUGGUAGACAUAUGGAGGACAUUUCCAAAUU